AACGCACCUUGCGCCCCUUGGUAUUCCGAGGGGCAUGCCUGUUUGAGUGUCUUGAAAUCAUCAAGCCGUCGGGUUCGUUCCCGCGUCUUGGACUUGGGGGCUCUUGCUGCCGUGAGGCGGCUCCCCUUAAAUCCAUCGGUCGGCUCCUGCUUGAGCGCGUCCCGGCGUUGUACGCACCUCGCUGGAUAAGCUGCCCUUGUGGACCGGCCCCGACCUGCUGCAGAGUGGCGGUCACAUACUUUGAAAUCUGACCUCAAAUCAGGUAGGACUACCCGCUGAACUUAA
rnacentral:misc_RNA from 1 species